GAUGAACGCUGGCGGCGUGCUUAACACAUGCAAGUCGAGCGAUGAAGUUUCCUUCGGGAAAUGGAUUAGCGGCGGACGGGUGAGUAACACGUGGGUAACCUGCCUCAUAGAGUGGAAUAGCCUUUCGAAAGGAAGAUUAAUACCGCAUAAUGUUGAAAGAUGGCAUCAUCAUUCAACCAAAGGAGUAAUCCGCUAUGAGAUGGACCCGCGGCGCAUUAGCUAGUUGGUGGGGUAACGGCCUACCAAGGCGACGAUGCGUAGCCGACCUGAGAGGGUGAUCGGCCAGAUUGGGACUGAGACACGGACCAGACUCCUACGGGAGGCAGCAGUGGGGAAUAUUGCACAAUGGGGGAAACCCUGAUGCAGCAACGCCGCGUGAGUGAUGAAGGUUUUCGGAUCGUAAAGCUCUGUCUUUGGGGAAGAUAAUGACGGUACCCAAGGAGGAAGCCACGGCUAACUACGUGCCAGCCGCCGCGGUAAAAC
rnacentral:rRNA from 1 species